rnacentral:rRNA from 1 species
UACGGAGGGGACUAGCGUUGUUCGGAAUUACUGGGCGUAAAGCGCACGUAGGCGGAUUUGUAAGUCAGGGGUGAAAUCCCGGGGCUCAACCUCGGAACUGCCUUUGAUACUGCAAAUCUCGAGUCCGGAAGAGGUGAGUGGAAUUCCUAGUGUAGAGGUGAAAUUCGUAGAUAUUAGGAAGAACACCAGUGGCGAAGGCGGCUCACUGGUCCGGUACUGACGCUGAGGAGCGAAAGCGUGGGGAGCAAACAGG